CGAACGCUGGCGGCGUGCUUAACACAUGCACGUCGAACGCUGAAGACCUGGCUUUUGUUGGGUUGGAUGAGUGGCGAACGGGUGAGUAACACGUGAGUAACCUGCCCUCUUCUUUGGGAUAACGCCCGGAAACGGGUGCUAAUACUGGAUAUUCACUGAUCUUCGCAUGGGGGUUGGUGGAAAGGUUUGUUCUGGUGGGGGAUGGGCUCGCGGCCUAUCAGCUUGUUGGUGGGGUGAUGGCCUACCAAGGCUUUGACGGGUAGCCGGCCUGAGAGGGUGACCGGUCACAUUGGGACUGAGAUACGGCCCAGACUCCUACGGGAGGCAGCAGUGGGGAAUAUUGCACAAUGGGCGAAAGCCUGAUGCAGCGACGCCGCGUGAGGGAUGGAGGCCUUCGGGUUGUAAACCUCUUUCGCUCAUGGUCAAGCCGCAACUGUGGGUUGUGGUGAGGGUAGUGGGUAAAGAAGCGCCGGCUAACUACGUG
rnacentral:rRNA from 1 species